rnacentral:lncRNA from 1 species
CAAAAGAAAAUCAGCAGCGGAAUAACGGUCUAGCGAUGGCUUCAGCUCCACUCCCACAGGCAGCUCAACUGGGGUAUAAGCCAAACGUCUUCUUCUGGAUCCUUUUCUUCAACUGAGGUUGAUUGAUUAUUGCAAGGUGAGCAUAUGACAUACUCUGCAAGCCACACAGCAAAUAUGCAAGUGCACAAGGAUACCAAAAGAUGGCAUAAUAUAGACUCAUUUGCAAAAGCAGCAUUUAGCAAACAUUUGAGAAUUGAAAAAUAGUAGAGUAAUUAAUCAAUGUUAUUCAACACUGAACAGCACACCCAUGCUGCUCAGGCCCAACCAUCCUGAACAACCAUACCCGGCUGUAUAGAUCUAACUCCAAACCAGGAGCUAAGCAAAUUAUUACCAGUUAUAGCAUCAAUAAUUACUGUGAGAGGUGUGAGACUAAUCACGAAAAACAUUGUUCAACCUGCCCAUGAUCGCGGGCACGGCUAUUCGAAUAGUUUUACUCUGGCCAGAGGUGUAUCACCACUGUACCCACAAGACACAGCUCCACGACAUGUCACCAUGCGCCUCAAUACCACCACGGUACCUUGGAAAGGAACUGUGACAGUACCCCUCGCACAACACAACUCACCACAGUGCACCAUUCCUGGAUCAUAAUCACCCCCUCUACAACCAGAGGCAUGGACUCCCCAGCGACCCUCAUGGACUUCUCGCCGCUUCUCAGUCUGGUGCCCCGCAAUGAACCAUGCUAUACGAAAGGUAAAUCCGUUGCCCACGCUGGCUUGUGCUUGGCACGGUAAAUAUUUCACAACAAUAGCUCGUGAACCGUUCCUUAAUUGUCAUGAGCACGACCUUCAAAACCAUGUGCUCACAACCCACCAUUAUCAAGUUUUAAUUAUCAAUUAAUUAUCAUAACACAAUUAACCAUCGUGAGCUACCAUUAAAUAUAACCAUAAGUAACAAUGUAGUGUGAUUCAUCUCAUUUAUGGCUAAGCAAUUAUAUAUAUAGCAUUUAGCUGAACCAAUCCAAUAUAUAAAGUCCAAGCUAAUCAAUUUAUUACCCAUAGGAAAAUAAAGUCAUCUUCGGCCAUAAUUAAUUGGGAAUGGCUCACCACCCGAUGACAUUCGAAAAUAAUGCAUAAGUUGAAAUAAAACAAUAGCUUUAGAUAGGUUCAACAUGCUCAAAGGGUUGUUUGAGAUCUGUGUGACUUGCCUUGCAAUAAUCGGUCUUCAAUUAAUCUUCUUGAACACUUCCGACGCACUCACGAACCUUCGCAACGACGGAAACAACAAGCUAACACGAAAAACGAAGAAAAAGACUAAUAAAAACCAAAUAAACAGUACAUAAAAAGUAGACAAACAUGUAGAUCAUGAUUUUAGAUGAAUUUAGAGACUUGAACCACUUAAUUCCGACUUCAUAUGAAUUAGUUAUCAAUUUUACAAGAUAAAUAUGAUUUUAGCCUUAUACAGAACAGGAUUAACAAUGUCAUGACGACAUCAUUGCCGGCGAUGGAGGGUUUAGGCGGCCAAGCCGAGGCACCAGAAGAAAGAGCACGACGAGGGGAACUCACUGAGGGGCGGCACGACGAUGAAAAACGGCUGGCGAUGAGAUCGGGAGUGACGACGGGGUACCGAU